AUUGAACGCCGGCGGCAUGCCUUACACAUGCAAGUCGAACGGUAACGGGCCUUCGGGUGCCGACGAGUGGCGAACGGGUGAGUAAUACAUCGGAACGUGCCCGAUCGUGGGGGAUAACGAGGCGAAAGCUUUGCUAAUACCGCAUACGAUCUACGGAUGAAAGCAGGGGACCGCAAGGCCUUGCGCGGACGGAGCGGCCGAUGGCAGAUUAGGUAGUUGGUGGGAUAAAAGCUUACCAAGCCGACGAUCUGUAGCUGGUCUGAGAGGAUGAUCAGCCACACUGGGACUGAGACACGGCCCAGACUCCUACGGGAGGCAGCAGUGGGGAAUUUUGGACAAUGGGCGCAAGCCUGAUCCAGCCAUGCCGCGUGCAGGAUGAAGGCCUUCGGGUUGUAAACUGCUUUUGUACGGAACGAAAAGCCUUCUUUUAAUACAGGAGGGUCAUGACGGUACCGUAAGAAUAAGCACCGGCUAACUACGUG
rnacentral:rRNA from 1 species